GCCCGCGUGUUCCGCCCCGACGCGAAGAAGCCUCCCGCAGCAGUCAAAGGUGCCCUUCUUCCUCCUCGGUCCGGUCCGGUACGGCGGUACCCGGCGCGGCGGAGUCUACCCGAUCUCCUCCAUCCUCUUCUGAGUUCGAGUCUUCCACUCCCAGCCCUCAAUAUUUAUGCCGAGUCUAGAGAGAAGAGGAAAUAGAUCGAUUUCCUUGGCGCCAUUGUACCUGAACGUACCAGAGGUAUCGUCGUCUACUUCAAUUCAUGGGGGACCUGACGCUGACAAGGUUUCUAUCCGCGAGGUGGGAGCGGCGGCGGCGGCUCUCUCACCGUCAGAUCCGACGACCCGGGUGCAUACACAUAAAUAUGCUUCUUGUUCGCCCAUGGUUGCUUCAACCGUUCCAACUGUGAUGUUAUUCCUGAUGGAUCAGUUACUUCAGUGGAUAAACGAAAAGGUCUGAAAUGCCAACAUGAUGAUAAUACUCAAGGCUGCAAAGGAAUAGAAUCAGAGCCCUGCCUGCCAGAGGUAUGAAAUGCAGAUUAUGGAAGACGUAAAUUGAUGGCAAGACUUAUCUUAUGCUUUGUUUAUUACUGCUGCAUUGCAGCCUGUUUGGUUUAUGCGGGUUUUACCGGUGGGAUUUAGUAAGAGAAAAACGAGUGGAUGUGUGGGUUCUUUAGUCCUUGUUUGAGUAGCAAGCAUGAUAUCAGUUGGAGCUCACAAAUAUUCUAUGAGCUUGUUCUUUUAUUUGGUCUGUUCUUUUUUUUUCUUGCCUCACUCUACUGGAAUGACUGUAAAACUUAAAAUGUAUUUCCAAUUAUUUGCUGCAUCAGUUCACUUAUUGUACCAUACUGAUGCAUCAGUGAAUGAGUCACUGGUGAAACAAUGCACAAGAUUCUUGUUGUUUCA